GAGGUAUGGUUGGAAAGACGGGUCCUAAAAAACAGUCCUUUCAAACCGGGCAGUGGAGUUCAUGUCCUGGAAGAAGUUAAGGGGAAAAUACAAGACUUUCACCUAGGAAAAGGAUGUGCAUGUCAUGAAGAAG